rnacentral:rRNA from 1 species
AUGCACUUCACGGCCUCCACGCCCGAAAACUUCCGGUUCCCUUCCGUAGCUGGCCCUGCCUUGCAAGUAUACUCGAUCAAACUGGUUGAUCUCAAUCCUAAUCUGAGCUGGCCUCUUGAUGUCUACGGCGUGGUCGCCGCACGGGACGAUCUUGACCACAACCGCAACAUUCUCUUCUGCCGUUCAGGGGAAAACUGCCAAAGAAUUAAGCAAGAGGACCCUUUUUUGCACUUGACUGGCCCAUCUCGUGCAAUUGUGGCUGACGAGCCUGUUUUCUUUCAAAUUGAAUUAAAAUUGAAAUAUGGAGCACAGUUCAAAGAUACAGCAUUGUUCAUUGCCUAUCAAAGGUACCGCCCCAUGAAGAAGUAUGACAUCAUGCUGAUCAAUAGCCGCUGUUGUACAGCAGAGAUAAGUCUUGAGCGAUUUGCUCCAUCAAUCCAGGCCACAAUUGUUGGUGUUCGUGUGGUUGAAGGGGAGUCUUUUAACUAUGGAUGCAAAGUUUCUUGCUUCUUUUUUCGUGUUGAAGCAAUGUUGGGAAGCGCCGUGGAAGUUGUUUUGCUUGACUGCAGUGGUGAAAGGAUGCAUGCUGGAUUAGAUGGGUAUCUUAGUUUGUCAAGAAAUGUGAUGUCAGUGGGAUUGCAGGGCACACUCCGAGUUGUCAUAGGAGCAUACUCAAAGUCCAAACCCAGUAUCUCUCGAAUAAAUCACGUUGACUUUCCUGUCCAGCAGUGUCAAACAACUAUGCUUAAGUGUCAUGUUGGCGGCUCCGAAGUGGAGAUAGUUGUCGCUUGGUCUCGUCUUGUCAUGGACAAUCAUGAUCUUGUACUCGACGGCUAUUGA